AGCGUCAUUUCAACCCUCAAGCCCAGCUUGGUGUUGGGGUCCUACGGCUGCCGUAGGCCCUGAAGAAGUGGCGGGCUCGCUACAACUCCGAGCGUAGUAGAAAUCUAUCUCGCUAGGGAAGUGUGGCGUGCUCCUGCCGGUAAAGCCCCAAACUUUAUAAGGUUGACCUCGGAUCAGGUAGGAAUACCCGCUGAACUUAA
rnacentral:misc_RNA from 1 species